UGCUUGCAACAGGACCACAGUCUGAUACAGAGAGACAAGGGAGAGGAUGGCUCCUUUUGCCUCAAUACAGCAGAUGACCCAAAUGCUGACAGGCUAAAUAUAUGGAGGGAUGAAGACUUUUGUCUACUCCAACAGAAACACUUCGUGCCUGAACCUGUAAUUUGCAGAAUUUUCCGGAGGCAGCGUUGGUGGAAUCUUUCAAGAAGUUGGGAAUGGCAUUUAUAAAUGGUCCAUAUUUUACAGGCGUACAGUAAGCCUACUGAGAUUAAAAAGCUUUCCAUCUGUUCAAUAUGUGAUUUCCACGUCAGGGGGAAGUUUCCCCUCAAUAAGGUGUAGCAUCAUAGCAAUGAAGAUAGCAAAUAAGCAUCCCCAAAAGAUUUUUCAGAAAGAAGAUGGCCUCUGCUCACAUGGAAAUGGACUUUCAAAUGGGGAUUGGGACUAGAAAAAUUACUUGUAACUCUUAUUUUGAGUAAUUUAAGGUGAAUUCACACAUGUCCAUUCAUCACAUAAUGAUGACAGCAUCAAGUGAUGAUUUGGAUUUGUGAAAACACCUAUACAUCUAAUCCACAGUAAGACUCGUCACACAUUUCAGAGGCAAAUUCCUGUAUGAAGUAGGGUGGGUGAAUCAGUCUUUUUGGUCCAUAUCACUUUCACAUGCCUAAGUUUAUU